rnacentral:antisense_RNA from 1 species
AAUUAUGGUGGGCUGGAUGAGGCUGGCUUCGGUCAGGCCGUUUCCUUUGUGGCGGCAGUUCGAACCCGUUCAGCUCACCACCUCC